AGCGGGGUCCGGUGGUCCCGCGAGGACAACAGAAACACAUCCUCUGCGGGGAAGGGGCCUAGCUGGGGUAGGGCGCACAGCCCCGCUGCGGCGGGGGCUCCCGGAAGCUGCGCCGCUGCCCCCCUCCCUAACCCCAUACCCACUCCCGCACUCACGGAGCUGAUCGAAGUGGGUGUCGCCCUCGACGCCGGGCACCGAGCACACCAGCCGCGCCUUCAGGAACGUCGUCCACUUGUUGACCAGGCUGCGCUGGCCGCCCACGUCGUUCUGCCGGGACGAUCAAAGGGGAUGAGGGUGAGACCAGAGUAGGCAAAGGGGUAGGGGCAGGGUCGCCGGGUGUGGCCCAGGGACUCCUCACCCGGCAGAUCUGGCCAACGCGGGACACGGACAGGCGUCCCAGUGCCGGCGCCGCCUCUACCGCCGUCUCACGAAAGAAGAAGUAGAUUUUGUCGUCGUCUGGGUUCUCGCUCUCCGGGAUCCAAAAUACCUUGACAAACUUGGGCUCUGACCACGGUAGGAGGCAUGGGUCAGCGGGUCCUGGCCUCGCCUCCUGAUGCGAGACCCACGCGCUGCUUCCCCUUCCCGUAGCGCGGGCACAGCACCCGGGAUCACAGUGUCUGACCACCCAACCUCUAGGACCACGUCCAGUUGGCGCUCUGCGCGGACCGAAUCCAAAGGAUCAGGGCCUGCGAGGCAAGAAGCAGCCGCGAGGGGGCAGCAGAGACCGUGGCUACCUGGAGGCGCGGGCGGGAAGCCCGGCUAGCCUCCGAUCUCGCCCUACACAGUCGCCCAGCACCUUAGGCUGGGGUAGGAGGGAGAUGAGAGACAGGGUCUGCUCUGUCCUGCAGUGGCAGCAUCAUGGCUCACUGCAGCCUCCAACUCCUGGACUCAAGUGAUCCUUCCAUCUCAGCCUCCUGACUAGCCAGGACUACAGAGGGAGAAGUGCUACCCAGGAGACGCAAGACCUGGGCAGAAGCCUCAGCCUCUGACUUGGGGACUGCUCCCAACCCAGCUGAAGCAGCCUCUGCAUUUGAGCUUGAGGGCUCUCUCUCCACACCCCUGAGGAAUCAAAGAGGGGCAAGGUUGGAGGUGGGAGGAACAACCCCCACCAAACCCAGAGCCGAAAACUGAGGGAGUUUUAAAGACAGGACGGAGCUCCUGCACCUCGGAGCCUCAGUUGGGGAUGACCUGGGGUCUUGUCCUGAAGCUGAGUCUGGUGAACGUGCCCCAUUUGUAGCAUGAGGGGUACUUCUCUGGAGGGACUGUAUGUUGACAGUGGCAGAGUGGAGCCCUCAAGUCCACCUGAGUGAAUAUACCAGGGCUUGAGAA